CAGUAGCCGCGGGAAUACAGAGGGUGCGAGCGUUAAUCGGAUUUACUGGGCGUAAAGCGUGCGUAGGCGGCUUUUUAAGUCGGAUGUGAAAUCCCUGAGCUUAACUUAGGAAUUGCAUUCGAUACUGGGAAGCUAGAGUAUGGGAGAGGAUGGUAGAAUUCCAGGUGUAGCGGUGAAAUGCGUAGAGAUCUGGAGGAAUACCGAUGGCGAAGGCAGCCAUCUGGCCUAAUACUGACGCUGAGGUACGAAAGCAUGGGGAGCAAACAGGAUUAGAGACCCCCGUAGUCCCUGUCUCUUAUAC
rnacentral:rRNA from 1 species